GAUGAACGCUGGCGGCGUGCCUAAUACAUGCAAGUCGAGCGAACGGACGAGAAGCUUGCUUCUCUGAUGUUAGCGGCGGACGGGUGAGUAACACGUGGAUAACCUACCUAUAAGACUGGGAUAACUUCGGGAAACCGUAGCUAAUACCGGAUAAUAUUUUGAACCGCAUGGUUCAAAAGUGAAAGACGGUCUUGCUGUCACUUAUAGAUGGAUCCGCGCUGCAUUAGCUAGUUGGUAAGGUAACGGCUUACCAAGGCAACGAUGCAUAGCCGACCUGAGAGGGUGAUCGGCCCCUCUGGACCUGAGACACGGUCCAGACUCCUACGGGAGGCAGCAGUAGGGAAUCUUCCGCAAUGGGCGAAAGCCUGACGGAGCAACGCCGCGUGAGUGAUGAAGGUCUUCGGAUCGUAAAACUCUGUUAUUAGGGAAGAACAUAUGUGUAAGUAACUGUGCACAUCUUGACGGUACCUAAUCAGAAAGCCACGGCUAACUACGUG
rnacentral:rRNA from 1 species